rnacentral:lncRNA from 1 species
AGAGACUCAUUUAUUUCAUGCAAAAAGAUUUAAAAUGAUUGAUAUAUAUGGAUAUAAAUUAGCUUUGAAAAAUUAUAAUAAAAUAAGUAGAAGGAUAUUUAGAUAUAGUAAAAGAAAAUCAUUAAUACAUGACCUAUCUUAUGUUGAAAUAAUACAGUUAACAGGACCUGAGGAUGUAAUAAUUGACGCAUUAAAAAAGUGUACAAAUGUUGAACAAGCAAAUAUGUUACAAAAUAAAUAUUUAUCAGGCUUACUUUUUGGAAAAAUGUUUAUCUAUCAAAUAAAUGACACAACAAAAAAUGAUCAACAAAAUGAAACACAUAUAACUAAUAGUUCCCAAAAUGGAGAAGAAUCGAAUAAUGCCUUUGAUAAGGACGAAAAUAAUAUUUUUAAUGAUCAAAGAAAACUUAUUUGUCCAGCCAAUUUUUUAUGGCGCUCACAUUUAAAACCUGAAAUGCAUGUAAAAAAAAAGAGUACUUUUAGUAGUAAUAGCAGUAGUAGUAGUAGUAGUAGUAGUCGUAGUCGUAGUCGUAGUCGUAGUCGUAGUACUAAAUCGGGAAGUAGAAAAACGGUCCAAGAUACCAGUAGUAACGAAAGAAAAAAAAAAAAAAGCUAUAAAACAAACAAUAAAAAAGAAACAAAAGAAAUUUUAGAUAAGAAAAAGAAGAAUAAAAGAGACCUGUGGGUAUUUAUACAUCCUGCUUGUUUAAUAGAAGUAAUGCAUACAUUGAGAGAAGUAAGCACAAAAAUUAGUAUAAAGCAUGUAGAAAAUAUUUGCAUGUACGAACUAAUAGGUCCAUCUAGUUUUAAUUUAUUAAUAAAUAUAUUAAAAGUAAAAAACAAGCAUUUAAAUAAAAAAGAACAAAAACAUAUAUAUAAUUAUAAGUAUGAAAAUAUGACAAUACCUUAUGAUUUUGUAAUACCAGUAUAUGCAAUUCUUCCUAAAAGUGUAGGUCCAUUUUUGUUGAAUUAUCGAGUAAAAGACAAUACAUUAAAAAAAAAAAAUAAAAAAAAGGAUAUCCGAAAAAAAGACAAAACAAAUGACACUAGUAGUUAUGAUAGUUUCGAAAAUAGUUAUAAUGAAAGAAAGGGACUGUUUAAUAAUGUCCCUAACAGAUUGCCAAAUAAAAACAAAAACAACAAGUUAAUCAUUACCACUAACAAAAUAAACGAAAAUUUAUCAUAUAAUUACCUGAACAAAAUGAAUGGAUCUAGCAAUUGUAUAAAAAUGGAAGAUAUAAGUCCUUAUAAUAAUAACAUUUUGAUGAAUGAAAGAAUAAAGCAAAAUGUAAUUAAACUUUUUAAGAUUAAUAAUUAUGAACAUAUUAGGAGUAAAAAGCAGAAAAACGUACACACAUGUAUAAUGAAAAUACUGAAAAGGAAUCAGAAUAUUGAAGAAUAUGAAGCUAUCAAAAAAAAAAGAGCAGCGAAACAAAGUAAAAUGCAACAUAGUAUACUAAAAAAAAAACAAACAAGCCAAAAUGAUAAACCAAUACAACUCGACCCGCAUAAUGACAUUUUCAAAGUAGUCGGUGCAAAUGAUAAUGUGAAUAUUAAAAUAGUUGAUCCACACAUUAUAGGAGUACAUAUAAAAACGAAAGCAGCAUCGAUUAAUGAUUCAGAUAAGGAUUCAGGUAGCCAUCUUGAAACCAAGUUAGCUACACAGCCGGCUAACAACACAACUACCACUACCAAUUUACAUAACCAUUUAGUUAAUGACUUGGUUAUUACCAAAGACGAUAAAAAGGAUAAAAAUGGUAACGGAGAGGACAAGGCCUUGAUCAAUUUAGCAGACAAAACGAAUGAUGUAAUAACCUGCCCCCCCGCGACUGUCUUUUCUGAUACUACAAGCUUGCCUAAAUGUAUGUCUACGCCUUUUAAACGUGACGAAAUACAUGUAAAGCAACCGGAGAAACAGGAGCAACCGGAAAAACAAAACGAACAAAACGAACAAAACGAACAAAACCAGCAAAACCAACAACAAAUAAAUAACGGUUCAAGUGAUAUAAAUGCACUAAACAAACAAAAUAUACAGUGUAAACUCCCUCAGAUAUCUUCAAAAAAACAAAAUAGUAACAUAGAUCAAAUCAAAGCAUACAUAAAAACGUUUGUAAAAGAAUACCAAAAAAACGACCAACUACAACUUGAUAAUGCAUUCACUAAUGAUAGUGAAGAUGUCGUAUUAAAAGAACUAAAAGGCGUAAAAGAAAAAAUAAAUAUAUAUAGUAAAAAAUAUAUAAAAAUUCCUAUUUUGAUAGUAAACCAAACGAUUAAUAAUAAUAAAAG